UAUGUGAUCGUCUCUCGCAUAUCAAUAAGCGGAGGAAAAGAUACUAACAAGGAUUCCCCUAGUAACGGCGAGUGAAGCGGGAAGAGCUCAAAUUUGAAAUCUUAAAGGGUUUCCCUUUACGAAUUGUAGUUUAAAGAAGUGUUUUCUGUUGAGGUUUGGUAAAAGUUCUUUGGAAUAGGACAUCAUAGAGGGUGAGAAUCCCGUAUUUGACCUUUACUUUCAACUUUGUGAUACACUUUCAAAGAGUCGGAUUGUUUGGGAAUGCAGUCCAAAAUGGGUGGUAAAUUUCAUCUAAAGCUAAAUAUUGGCGAGAGACCGAUAGCGAACAAGUACCGUGAGGGAAAGAUGAAAAGAACUUUGAAAAGAGAGUUAAACAGUACGUGAAAUUGUCAAAAGGGAAGCGUUUGACACCAGUGUUGUUUUUCUGAAAAUCAAUUAAAGAACUGUUUAUGCUAAGCUGUUUAGACUUUAUCAGCUAUCUGUUUAGUUUUGAGCUUUUCUUUAAUGCACUUUUCAGUCAACAAGUCAACAUCAAUUUCUUUUGCUGUAAAAAAGCUUGAGGAAGGUGGCUUGAGAUUCGUCUUAAGUGUUUAUAGCCUCUUGCCUAUGCAGUCGGAGAGAUUGAGGUCUGCAGCGUAGAUCCUUCGGGGCUAAAUGCAUUUGUGCUAAGUUAUAGCAUUUUAUAGACAACUUGUUGACUAUGAUUUGUCUUGUAGCUUACUCGCUUAUGUUAUUUUACCUACGCUUAGGAUGUUGACUGAUAUGUAGUCGUA
rnacentral:rRNA from 1 species